GAUGAACGCUAGCGGCAGGCUUAACACAUGCAAGUCGAGGGGUAUAGGUUUUCGGACCUAGAGACCGGCGCACGGGUGCGUAACGCGUAUGCAAUCUACCUUUCACAGAGGGAUAGCCCAGAGAAAUUUGGAUUAAUACCUCAUAGUAUAGCAGUUUCGCAUGAAACCACUAUUAAAGUAUCAACGGUGAAAGAUGAGCAUGCGUCCCAUUAGCUAGAUGGUAAGGUAACGGCUUACCAUGGCUACGAUGGGUAGGGGUCCUGAGAGGGAGAUCCCCCACACUGGUACUGAGACACGGACCAGACUCCUACGGGAGGCAGCAGUGAGGAAUAUUGGUCAAUGGACGCAAGUCUGAACCAGCCAUGCCGCGUGCAGGAUGACGGUCCUAUGGAUUGUAAACUGCUUUUGUACGAGAAGAAACAACAUUACGUGUAAUGUCUUGACGGUAUCGUAAGAAUAGGGAUCGGCUAACUCCGUGCCAGCCGCCGCAGUAAGAC
rnacentral:rRNA from 1 species